AGAGGAGAGGAUAUGGUCACGUUUUGGGUUGCUCAAAUUACCUUGGCAAGUGGUGCUUGCAUCAGAAGGGCUCUGAACCAGACAGUUGAAAGUACUUGAUAGUUCCUUUCUCCCCAGAACACACAGGUGCUGAACUCCAUGGAGAACUCCCUGGGUGUCAGCUGAGAUCAUGGACCUGAUGUGGAUAAUUACCUCCUGAUUAUCCAGCUGGGUAUGAAAUGUUGGUGAAACAAAUCCAUGUGCCCAAAGAGCAGCUCAGCUAUGAGAUUGUGAGAUUCCACCCUGGCACUACGUACAUUGUCACACUUCCAUCACAUGUGAAGGGGAUUGCCAGUGAGCCCAAGCAUCUAGAAGCAAGUACAGACAGGUAGAUGGGGAGAUACACCUUGGCUGGUGGAGACACCAAUGAAAUAGAGGUGGGCAGUGAAAAUGACAUGAUCACCUUCUGGAUCUGAAGCCAGACAUGGAAUGUCACCAACAACUGGCCAGGGAAGCAAGAAGGCAAGCACCAGAGCUGUGACAGGGAAUGCAAGGACCUACCACAGUGGCUGGAAGUUCACAACAUGGGAAGGGGACAAUGAUGUGGCUCUAAGCAGCUGUGCCCUGACACACCACAGUGCAUGGUGGCACAAGCACUCCACCUGGGAAAGCUCAAAGCGAGACCUGAGGAGAGCAGUCACUGUGAGGGUGUGAACUGGGAGUCAUGGAAAGGACAUGAAUUCUCCAUCUCUUUUAUCUGUCCUCAGUCUUCCAGUAAUGAGCCAGUCCUGGGGAGGAGGAAGAAGUCUUUAUCAGAGAAGAGGAAAAAGAUCAGGGCUUAAAUAGAACUCUGCAGAACAACUCAAAGAUAAUGUUUCAGUAUUUUCUUAACAAAGUUUGAUUCAGACAGCUUUCUCCAAUGCAAAGGAAACAAUAGCUGACCAAUGUGCACCCAGGAACAUCUGUAUCUGCAGGCCAACCUGCUGGCAGCCUUUGGAGCUCCUGGGAGGGUGAUGUUCCAGAUUCUGAGAGGGGGCUUGUGGGGGAUCCUCCUUGAAGAUACUCUGGUUGGCUAAGCAUGACAAGGACCUGCUUGAUGCAAUACAUGCAACUUCUAUGGACUUUAUGUCAAACAAGCCUUAACACGUUGUCCUUUCUGGAGCCUGGGCUGCAGACUCCUCUUAAUUCUGUCCUUCUCUGGAGCCAUCCACUUCAGACUUCCAAAAAUAAAUUUGAACCUACUAACAAAUAAUAGCCCCCUAAUUUACAUCAGAGUGAACUCUUCUGAGACUUCUCCCUGUUUUGGUCUGCAGUUCUCAUUAUCUGGGCAGAUUCCCUAUUCUUCUUGCAGAACUGGGUUUUGGGAAACACUGCCAGUCUGCUGGAAAGGCCCAUUAACUCAUGUGUGUUCUGUAGACUGGGUUCCUCAGCCCCCAGUAUCACAUCUCUGCUGGUUAAAAUCUUGCUAUUUUGCUUGUGUCAUUUUUCCCAGCCCAAAGAAAAUACAAGGGAGAUGUGUAGUAGAUUGAUGUUCGCUCUCCAGGAUGAGGCCCAGAACACGGUGAAUGUGAGGUCCACUCUCUUCCAGGCUCUGCUCACCAUCCCAGACCUUCCUCUCUGUACUGCUUGCUUACAGACAAUUAACCAAAUUCCCUAUGUGACUGUUCCAUCUGCUGCCUUCUGCUUUUUCAUCAGCCGUGUGGCAGGUAGUGAGGCUGAAAUGAUAACACUUGUCAUCCA